AGAGAAGAACUCCAUUUGUGAAAAAAGGGCAAGAAGAUUGUGAAAAGAUAGCUAAGAUCGAAUCACGACGUGUCGGCCGCGUGUGUGUGUGUCAGUGGCAAGCUCAGUAUUUCAUUUCUCGAUUGUAUUUCAACAUAUGGAAAUGACAUUUCUUCUGUUCUAGUCCUCUAUACAGUAACCUCUUUUGUUCAAAACAGUGGGGAUUAAUGUUGUCUGUACUUACCUUCCUUUUGUAACUUCUGCAUCACCAAGUUGAAGUAUCGACCACCUUCUUCUUGGAUUUGGAAUUUUUUUUCUUCUCCCUAUUGUUUUGUUGCAAAUCAUCAUUUACAGGCACCUUGGGCUUCUUUGUGUUUUCUUCUGGUAUUUUUAUUGUUUUUAUUUAUGUUUAUUCUGGUAAAAUAAAAAAAAGUUAGUAAUGGCGCACCAAGAGAAGGUGCGCCAUUGCUAUCACGGUGUUUAUGGCGCACCCCUAGAUGGUGCGCCAUUGAAAUACCAAUUUUUAUUUAUGUUUAUUCUGGUAUUUUAUUUUUCAGUGUUCCUUUUCCUGCUUAAAUUUGCAAACUUUUUUAAAAAUGCGAACAUUUUUCUAACUCACAUAAAGUAUUGAAUUUGUUAAUAUUUUUUGAACUCAUGAAUAUUUUUAAAUUUCAUGGACACUUUUUGAAUUCAUGAAUAUUUUUUCAAAUUUGAUGAUAUUUUUUCAUAUUCAUAAAUGUUUUACCAAUUCACAAAUGUUUUGCAACGCAAGUAUUUCAAAAUUAGUAAUAACUACUUAUAUCGUAACAUUUUAAAAUUUCUGGUCAUUUUCUAAAAAAUUAUUACAUGCAACUAAAAAUCCAAAAAAAUAAAAAAAAGAUAGUAAUGGCACACCAGGAGAAGGUGCGCCAUUGCUAUCACGGUAUUUAUGGCGCACCCCUAGAUGGUGCGCCAUUGAAAUACCAAUUUUUAUUUAUGUUUAUUCUGGUAUUUUAUUUUUCAGUGUUCUUUUUCCUGCUUAAAUUUGCAAACAUUUUUUGAAAAUGCGAACAUUUUUCUAACUCACAAAAUUAUUGAAUUUGUUAAUUUUUUUGAACUCAUGAAUAUUUUUAAAUUUCAUGGGCACUUUUUGAAUUCAUGAAUAUUUUUUCAAAUUUGAUGAUAUUUUUUCAUAUUCAUAAAUGUUUUACCAAUUCACAAAUGUUUUGCAACGCAAGUAUUUGAAAAUUAGUAAUAACUACUUAUAUCGUAACAUUUUAAAAUUAUGGUCAUUUUCUAAAAAAAUAUUACAUGCAACUAAAAAUCCAAAAAAAUAAAAAAAGUUAGUAAUGGCGCACCAGGAGAAGGUGCGCCAUUGCUAUCACGGUGUUUAUGGCGCACCCCUAGAUGGUGCGCCAUUGAAAUACCAAUUUUUAUUUAUGUUUAUUCUGGUAUUUUAUUUUUCAGUGUUCCUUUUCC
rnacentral:lncRNA from 1 species